CUUCUGUUUCCGCGACCCCGGCGGUGCAGGGCGGGUGGAGUCGCGGAGUAGUCCUCAUGGCCGCCGCGCCGGAGCCCGGUGAGCCCGAGGAGAGGAAGUCCGUUAAGCUCCUAGGAUUUUUAGAUGUUGAAAAUACUCCCUGCGCCCGGCAUUCAAUAUUGUAUGGUUCAUUAGGAUCUGCUGUGGCUGGCUUUGGACAUUUUUUGUUCACUAAAUUAGAAGAUCAUGUGAUGUUGGAGUAGGAGGGUUUAUCUUGGUGACUUUGGGAUGCUGGUUUCAUUGUAGGUAUAAUUAUGCAAAGCAAAGAAUCCAGGAAAGAAUUGCCAGAGAAGAAAUUAAAAAGAAGAUAUUAUAUGAAGGUACCCACCUCGAUCCUGAAAGAAAACACAACGGCAGCAGCAGCAAUUGAAUAAUCUUGAGCAUAGAAAAGAAGUCAAUGUAAACGAAGUUAAGAUCAACCACAUAAAACAUUUCAUGUGCAAUAAGCUCUCAAUCAAGUAAAUAAAGUUUAAGUUGUAGUCAUUUUUUUCCCACACUUGUAUGGAAUGAAAACUUGCCAGUUUAUUCUGGCCCUGUGUCUACUGCCAGGAUAGCAUUCUUACGUGUUACAUAUAGUGAACUUGUCAUCCUUAAAAUGUGAACAGAAUUUAUUGGCAGUAUGGCAAAGAAUUAUAAAACCUAGUGUUUAAUGUACUUGGAAAGAGUUUCCUUGUAGUAAUAAGUAUAGAGUUUAAUGAUAAGUAAACGUCCCUUAACAAAAACCUCAACCUUAUUACGAUCCCAUUAAAAAACAGCAAAUACUUACUGAGUUCUUGUAAGAGUUAAUGUCAUUGUAAGAUUUAAAACUAAGGGAUUUUAUCACUUUGCAAAUUAUUUUUUAAAUGCAUUCAUCAUUUGACAGUGUUCUCUCAUUUCUUAAAAUGUGAGUCAUCUUCCAAAAGAGUUGUUUUUAACUGCCCUAAACAUUUUUGGGGAAGUAUGCAGGGUUUAAAUUUUUAAGUAUAAUUAGUUCUGAAUUUAAAUAUGCACAUGGAACUUGUCUGGCAGACUGAUGCAAUAGAAAAACAACUGCAGAAUUACUAUUAAUGUAAACAAUCCAUUUGAAAGUCAAUCAGCUGCUCCCAUUAAAAUAUUAUUUAAAAUACAAUACCCACAGCAUCUAACUAAAUCCUCAGGAUUUAUUCUCCGGGAGAAAUUAUCCCUUUCUAGGAAAAUGAAGUUAUUUCUGGUUUUAAUUCGUACAAUACUUUAAGAAAAUCUGUUAAAUAUAACAAAACACAAGCUAGAUGCUUAAGAAAUGCUUAAAGAAAUAUUGGGGGGAAGAUACCAGCAGUCAACAGGAUUGUGGCCAUUACUGGUCCUAUUAUUUUGAUGUACCAUGGAAGGCACAGAAAUCGAGCAAGGAAGAAAAUAUUAGUUAUUUUGAUCUACAUCUUUUUCUAAAGAAAAGUGGAGCUUGCCUCCAGUUCAAUUCACAAGAGCAUUUUCCCUCCCAUGCCCACCUUUUCUUGUGGCUGUCGCUAGGAAGGAUUCAGAGGCUGUGUGGUUUACCAAAUGCCUUAACUUAGCAGUGAAUGACAACUGUCAAACACAUGUUGAGGGAAAAUUUUUACUGAUUCACAAAAAGGAAAACAGUUUGCCCACUCUUAGUGGCACAAAUCAAAGCUGCAUGCAGUCUACAUUAUUCAAAUUAGUCGUAACCAAAUAGUUAAAAAAUUCUGCCGGGCACGGUGGCUCAUACCUGUAAUCCCAGCACUUUGGGAGGCCGAGGCAGUUGGAUCACCUGAGGUUAGGAGUUUGAGACCAGCCUGGCCAACAGGGUGAAACCCUGUCUCGUCUAAAAAUACAAAAAUUACUCAGGAGGCUGAGGCAGGACAAUCACUUGAACCUGAGGUGGGGCAGGCGGAGGUUGCAGUAAGCCAAGAUCGCGCCAUUGCACUCUAGCCUAGGUGACAGAGUGAGACUCCAUCUCCAAAAAAAAAAAAAAUUCCAUAGGAUGUUCAACCAUGUUUUCAGAGGCCACACUGCAUGAAUGCGGGAAAAUGUUGAUGAUCACUAAUCAAUAAUCUGAUAUUUAACAAAAUGUGGACAGGCCACUUAUGCUCAGUUUUACCUUAGUUAUUCCUUGGUAUCCACAGGCCCAAGUCCCUUUAAAUAAAAUACCCUCAUAUUUCCAUAUAAUCUACAUACAUUCUCCCAUAUACUUUAAAUCAUCUCUAGAUUACUUAUAAUGUCUAAUACAAAAUAAAUGCUAUGUAAAUAUAA
rnacentral:sRNA from 1 species